AGAAACCAUUGGUGCUGCUUCCGGACGGGUUCCUCCAAGUCAGCGACAGCCAAGAGUUAUCCACCAGAUGUCAGGCCCACAGUGACGCACAAGUGUCCAUCGCCUGGUCGGUACCACCGUUAGCAGCUUGGUGGACAACGACACAAGUCUAUCAGGGCGCGACAGCGCACGGUGAUAAUGAUGAUGUUGAUGGCGCUGAGGAGAUGACGGAUGUGGAAAAGGGGGAGGAGGGGGAGGAUCUGGGCAAGGUGAAUGAAACAGCGAAGACAUCCACGUACAUCGCAAUAAGUGAGAUUCAGAUCCACAAUUUAAGUGUGACGGACCACUACCAGCCUGUCUCCUGUGUGGCCACAAACGAUGUAGGGAGCACGACGCUUUCUUUCAGGAUCAUCGUGCCAUCGGCCCCCAACAUCACAAGCUUGCGGGCAAGAAAGCGUUACAGUCUCCAGAUUCGGUUCAGAGUCACUGGUUGGCCGGUACCAUCACUGAUGUGGUAUCAUGACGGACGAGUGUCUCCCAGUAGCCGACUCAACCAGGACUAUUACUCAAAGAACGACUCGGAGAAGGGGGAGAUACAUGGUGCUCGGGUCUUCGAGUCUGAAUUCCCGGGAAUGGCGGGUCAAUACACUCUUGAGGCGAAAAACAGCAUUGGCGGUGUCAACAAGACCAUCUGGAUUGCUCCUGGUUUCCAGCAUCAGUACAUCGUCUCCAUCUACGG
rnacentral:sRNA from 1 species